CACGGCUCCGGUCCUCCAGCGCGUCCCGAUUCUCUCGAGCGGAGACAGCCUGGGUCGUCCCGCGGGUCAAUGGCCACGCCUCCUCUCGGCCGGGAGGACGGCGUGGGGCGUGGUUUGGGCGGGACUCUGCGGUAACGGGCGUCGGGCUCGACCAACGAAUGCACAGAUUAUAAUCUUCAAAGAGACAAGACUGUGGUGUCCCCAGAGCCUAACGCAGUGACUGACACAUGGAAGGCACUAGGAACUGCACCCAGGACCCUGUGCAUGUUAAGCACAUACUCUACCACUGAGCUAUACCUUUCCCCCUUGAAAAUUUUUAUGUAAAAAAGUUUACUAAAUAUAUAUGUAAAUAAAAGGAUACC